rnacentral:lncRNA from 8 species
GACUUGAAUGCUUCCAAAUGUCUCAACUCCAAACAUCAAAAGUAAAACUUCCACUCUGCCCUGCAAUAUUUGACUACUUCUGAAGUUUAAAAUAAAUAGAGGUGAAUCAUGGCCCACAAUAGCCACUUGUACCUACCUGUGUAAAUUGACCCCUGGAAGAAGGGUAGAGGGAAUACGGUAGCUGGCAUCCACCUGGCCUGCCUCAUCGAUGCAUCUUUAAUGGGCAUGAAUCAUUGAUCAGCCUCACCUGGCUGCAUGCACCCCCAGGGGCGCCAGUGCACACACUGAGACGGGCCUGUGCAGUCCGCUGGAGACAUGAGCACCACUGGAGCCCGUCCUGGCCUUAGCCUGGAUGCUGGUGGGCUAUGGAACCAGAGAGCCAUGCAGAGGAGCAGAGCUCUAGUCCGAACCUACCUCCAGUCCAACUCUGUGGCCCCUCUGCCUCAGCCCAAUGGGACCCGGCAAAGGGACACUGUCCGACUGCCUUCCCUAGCUGCCGUUAAAGCCCAGCAAAGGCAGACCACCAUGCCUCCGCUCUGCAAGCCCUCCCUCUUCACCCCGGGAGAACGAGCCUUGUUCGAGGGGUUUUCCCGCAACCGCCGUCACCCUCUGCGGAAACGACCUCUGCCUCUCUGCAUGUCCUGUGACACAGUAGUAGGAAAUAACCUAAGCCAGAGCAGCAGACCAGUGUCCACCCACUUCUCCUACCCCAUCAGCCCCAACCCAAAGCUGGUGAAGCCCAGAUCACAAAGCCUGACCCUGGCCACGGAGCAAGGCGAGCUCCGUCCUCUGGUGAUACAGUACCGCCAGUCGUCACAAGGGGAGGGUCUAACAGUGAGAGGAAAGCCCUGCCUGAGCCUCCCCAACCAACCUUUGCCUCCCGCCGCUCCUAUGCCAGCACGCACACAGCUUCACAUAUUCUUGCCCACGGAAGGAUUUGGAAAGGGGGAUGAGGGGGACAGUGAAUCUGUGGAUGAAGGGUUUAUGGACGAGCUGGAUAGUAAGAUCACUUCCCUAAAACUCCAGGAGGGGGAGGCCAAGAUUCACACGCACCCUGAUUAGGCCCCUGGAAAAAUAAAGUGACUUCCCACGACCCACUAAGGAAGUGUUCUGGGUUUCAUGUUUAGGAACAACGGGUCUUAAUUGAGGACUGCUCAGUUAUGCAAGCCACUUUGUAUGGUGGUCUUUCAGUUGAUCCCAGGCAUUUAGCCUGAAAAGAGCCUUGGAUAGUUCUACACUUUCAAAGUGUGUAACAAAUCUUCUUACCUGGAAAAUACUGUAAGUUGGAAAGGCUCGAAAUUAGAUCACUAGUUAUUUUUUUGGCAAAGUGUAUGUGUUGGCUCAGAAUAGAAUAGAGCAUGGACUGGGAAUUUGUCACAGAAUAAUAAAUAAAUCCAACCACUGAUGAGCUUUUUAAUGUGCACUACCUGUAAAUACAAGUUCCUUCAAUUAAACUAUUUUAUAAGAACAUUAAAGGUUCAAAAAAAAAUUUAGAAAAGGAAAACACUGUUACAACAGUAUAUACAUACACUACAUGGCCAAAAGUAUGUGGACACCUGCUCGUUGAAUUUCUCAUUACAAAAUCAUGGGCAUUAAUAUAGAGUUUGUCUCCCCUUUGUUACUAUAACAGACUCCACUCUUCUGGAAUGGCUUUCCACUAGUUGUUG